UCUUCAGCAAGCAAAGCACCUAUGUGCUCUUGCAGAAUCAUAUGCAUGUCUCAAAGCAGUUAGCUUUGUUGCUAGGUAAUCAUUUGUUUACAUGUUCUUUCUCCCCUAUCAUACAAUGAUCUACUAGGGAACAAAAAUCAUCCCACUCCUUUCUAGUCAAUAGUUCAUCAGUAAAAUAUUCACUGAUUGAAUGUCUUAACUGGUUAAUUAAGGGAAGCUACAAUAAUGGGUAAUACAGGUUGGCAAUCCCCCAAAGGACUUCCAUUUAAGACUUUGGCAGGCAUGCCUAUCCAGUGGAGAGCAGUGAUGAGAUAGAACUAACUGGACAUUAUGUUACUAGCAAUGGAUCCCUGAACUCUAGAAUUGGGACAAAUACACUAGACUCUGAAAAACUUUUCUCUGAUGGAAAUGACCCCUUGCUACAGUGACUUUCUGACACCAUGCAUGAUGCACACUCUUGGAAAGUCUGAAUUCCAUGUCACAAUGGCUCUGUUCAGAUUACUGAUUUCAUCAUGCCUGUAAGCCCAAUUAAACUACUGAAGUUUCUAA